UUUAAGUGCAGUUAUAGGUUUUUGUGUCCAACGUUUGACUGUCCAUCUUAUUUGAAAUUUUUUUACGAUUAGUAUUUUUAUUGUUAUCAGAUGAUAAAAUAUGAAUAGUAUUUUAUGUGUAACUUAUUUUUCUAAUUGUUUAAAUAAGACAGAUAGUCAAACAUUGAACCCAGAAACUCAUAACUGCACUUAAA
rfam:Oryza meridionalis cultivar OR44 (W2112) chromosome 10, whole genome shotgun sequence.